rnacentral:rRNA from 1 species
CCUACGGUCGGCAGCAGUGGGGAAUAUUGGACAAUGGGGGGAACCCUGAUCCAGCCAUGCCGCGUGUGUGAAGAAGGCCCUCGGGUUGUAAAGCACUUUCAGUGAGGAAGAACGCCUGGUGGUUAAUACCCAUCAGGAAAGACAUCACUCACAGAAGAAGCACCGGCUAACUCCGUGCCAGCAGCCGCGGUGAUACGGAGGGUGCGAGCGUUAAUCGGAAUUACUGGGCGUAAAGCGCGCGUAGGUGGCUUGAUAAGCCGGUUGUGAAAGCCCCGGGCUCAACCUGGGAACGGCAUCCGGAACUGUCAAGCUAGAGUGCAGGAGAGGAAGGUAGAAUUCCCGGUGUAGCGGUGAAAUGCGUAGAGAUCGGGAGGAAUACCAGUGGCGAAGGCGGCCUUCUGGACUGACACUGACACUGAGGUGCGAAAGCGUGGGUAGCAAACAGGAUUAGAUACCCGAGUAGCC